rnacentral:lncRNA from 1 species
CAGUCUACAAGUAUAAGUCACCACCACCUCCUUCCCCAAUUUACAAGUCACCACCACCACCUCCUCCAGUAUACAAAUCACCUCCACCACCUCCUCCAGUUUACAAAUCUCCACCACCACCAAUUUAUAAAUACAAGUCUCCUCCACUACCUCCUCCAGUGUACAAGUCAUCACCACCACCUGCUUACAAGUCUCCACCUCCUCCAGUUUACAGUUCCCCACCACCACCAAUCUACAAGUCUCCACCUCCACCCUACCAUUACUACUACAAUUCUCCUCCUCCUCCUCGUCACUACUAAGCAAUUGUAUCCAAGUUUUUGAGGUAAUAACGUUUAACCAAUAAAUUAACUUUCGCAUGAUAAACCUUAUCUCUAUCUAGACAAACUGCCAUGUGUAUAAUGCCAAAUACGUACACCUAGAUCCAUGAAAAUGAGUGGUAGAAAGUUUUCUUAAGAACCAAGGAACAGCAUUAGUAUUCCCUCUGCUUCCAAACACUUGUGUAUUAAAUAGAUUAAUGAAUUGUUUAACAUGCUCAUCUACUUGAAAAUGCACAAUACCCAUAACCCACUGAAAUUUUUGCAGGAAAAGGGAAAGAGAAUCUGUGUUUGAGAGCUUCAUGAAGAUGUUGAAGAAUAAGAAUAAAAGCCCAAUGCGAGGAUGUUUUCAAGUUUUUCUAUGUUUCCACUUUAAUUUGUAAAUUGAAUUUUGCGACUCAAUUAAUUCCCUGUUUGUGGGGUACGUAUUGUUUUACGUACCAUGCCGUACAUGUUUGUAAGGAUUUCUAUCCUAUUGGCAAAAGUCGGUUCCGUACAAUUAAUCAAUUCAUUUCACUUCUAUUGGCUCUACUAUUUAUGCAUGUUACGACAUUUUUUCUCUCUUUCCCUUAUAUUUUGCCUUUAAUAUUAUUGAGUCAAUAUUAAUAAUGGGCCUUUUUCUUAAAAUUAUACUAUUAUACAUAGGUAGUUUGGUCUAACGCUAAAUUCAUGUUUGUCUUUCUUUUAUUCCCUUUACAUCUCAAAGUAUACUAUAGUUUGUAAUCAUUGUGGUGAUGAUAUUACCAGCUGGUACUUAUAGUUUAAGGCAGAGACAUGAUAUUAACAACUAUCUCAUUGAAACAUAAGGAAAAAUCAUGACAAGUGUGAGUCUUGGUUAAUGCACAAUUUGUUAGUGGAAUUUAUAUUUAUAAAACUCAAAAAAAAUUUUUGACAAUGCUAUUACUAAUUAAUUAAGGACUUUAUUGCUAUAACUUAUCGCUUACUAGUUUAAACUAUAAAUGAUCUCAAUACUUUUCUCCAUGAUGUCGAUUUCUUUAGACUACGAAAGGGAAAAAUUAGUGACAUAUCCUCUACUGAUUACAACAUCAGCAAAAAUUAGUUAUAAACUUUUCCGGUGGUUUUAAAUCCCUCGGGCCCUAAGAUUUUUUGCUCAUCGAGUGAAUUAAGGAACAUAGGCAAUUCGUUCUACAUACCAAGUCCUUGUUUAAGAUGCAAGUACUAAAAUGCAUCCACUUCAUUAAUUUGGGAAAUUGCCAUAGUUUUUUUUAAGCAUUUUGAUUUUUUACAUGAUUCAAAAUUUUCUGAUUGGAUACAAUCACUUUGUAUCAAGAACACAUUUUCAAUCACCUUUUUUUAUCUUCUCAAUAAGAAAAUAAAAAUUUAUUCAUGCUUUUCUAACAUAUUCAAUCAUUGAUCUGAAAAUUAAAACAUUAAAAAAAAAGGACAUUUUCAAUCACUGCUUACAGGGCAACUUCCCCAUGUGAACCUCUUCAAACAAAGCCAAUAAUAUGAAGGAAUAUCUAAAUAUACUUUUGCCCUAAAGGCUGGUUGCCUUGGGGUCAAAAUUUAACCUUCCGGAGUAUAAUUACCCUGCCAAAUUUAUUUUUUUUUUAUGGGUAUAUAGUUCCAAUUUUGCCUCCUGUUAAGCUUAUAAAUAUAUUAUCACCCAGAAAAUAAAGGAAUCUUGAAUACUAACAUGUCCAUUGACUUGAGUUGUCAUCAAUUUGGCUACUUCGAUUCCAUGAGGCCAAUCCAAUUCACACUAGCUAGAGAAAAUGGUGACAAAGGCACUUAGAAAAUUAUAUGUAAUAUUGAUUGGUAGUAACCAGCUUGUAUUGAUUGGUAGUAACCAGCUUGUGCUCUUAUGAAAAAAAAAUUAGCAAAAUUUAUGAGAACAAUUAAAUUUAUUCGUACAAAUCAGUCAAAGAAGUAGUAUUUUAAAGACCGUGAUGAAAUUAAUACUUUCAAGGUUUCUAUUAGGAAGACUUCCUUUGUUGGUGAAACUACACUAGGCAGAGUUAUAUGGUAUCAAAAAAUAGUUGUAUUCACGUCUGUUCUUUUUUUCUUCCUUAAGUUUUUUUCUUUAUUCUCGUGACUUCAAAAAUACGAACUCAAGAAAUUGGCUGCUCAAUCAGUAUGUCAUACAGGCUUCGCUAGUGAGGUAUAACUUCACAACUAGAGCCAAUAGAAAUCGUCAAAUGAUUUUUUGACAUCCAAAUUAAGCAAUAAAUUUUGUUUUCAUUUCAUAACAUAUAAUAGUACUACUUCAUGGGAGAUUUUAUAGUUUCUUUAGGGUAUCAUACCUACAAGUGAUAUUUGUCAUUGGAUAGUGAAAGAAGUGUUAAUGACUGUAAGAUUAAAUAUUGUUAAAUAUUGAAAAUUUAAACUAUUUAUCUUUAUUGAGAGAUACAACUUAAAGAAUCCUACCCAAAAGAGACUAUAGAAUUUUCUCUGUUUUUCAUCAUCUGUAGACAUAAAUUUUGCCUAUACAAUGUGAUAGCAUUUUUUCAAAAAGACAAGAUGGAAAAUUGCCCCCCUUGAACGGAAAAUUGCCCCCUUGUCAAUUCUUUAAAAAAGAAUACUCGCUCCUGAACAUAGCCUGUUCAUCUACACUGUCCCGCAGAAUUCUAGAAAGUUAGGCAAAACUAGACUAGUUGACAGGUAUAAUCAUACCCAACAUCAGGAACAAGCAGUUGCACAUUUCAAAAUUCGCUGCUGCAACAACUAAUUUGAUGACUUACAACACUACACGGUCAAACUUUGAAUGGCAAUGGAUCUUUUGAUGUAAUUUUCAUGUUACAUACAUUAAUAGAUUGAUAUCUAUAUUCUUUAAAUUAUCGUAAUAAUACUCUUAAUUACAUUUAAUUGAUAAAAAGAACACGUGUCAACACACAAAAAUGUGUAAUGUGAAUGUUACAUUAGUGUAUAGCAGAAGACCUAUAGUCUCUUCACAUCUCUUCCUGCACGUAUCAAUUCGUUUCCUCUAGAUAAUAAUCUCCCAACUCAUUUCUUUACAAAUGCACCUUUUAUGUUUUAUUACCUCCAAAAGCCUUUACAGGGUCUUUACCCUAAAAAUCAAUUCACCGACUCGCAUUUGAUAUCAGAAAUUCUUAUUACGAAUUCUACUUUACUCAAAGAUUGACUGUUAAUAAUGAGACAACGACCAUUUUGUAUUAUUACACCGUCCUUCUUGAUAGGCAAAAGAAAUAGAGAGGAAAGCGGGUCCGUAUAUGGUCUUUUAUUCAUAGAUAAUACAACAUUACGCCAUCGAGCAUUCACACAAUAUUUCAAAGUCAUUGCAUGCCUAAGACCCUGUUUGAUAAUCCAAUUCCAUACUUAAAUUUAAUGGAUUUAAAUCUUAACACAUUCAAAUCGUUUGAUAACAAAAAAUUGAACAUUUAAAUUAAUUAAGUAACACUGGAUUUCCAAGACAAAACUUGCUCCCAAAAUUAAGUGAUAAGUGAAUAACUUAUCACUGAAUGUAUGUAUUAGAUUUAAUACUUAAUAAUUUAAUAAUUUAAUGAAUUCAGAUUUCAGAUUUCAGAUUUCAGAUUUCAGUUUUCAGUUUUAUCACACACACCCUAAGUUACAAAUUAAUACCAAAACUUGUUAUUAUAUAGCUUGAGAUUCAAAAAUUUAGAGCAUAAUUCUCAACCUAACACAAUUGAAUAAUGAAUAUUCACGAUUGUCAAAACUAUCAAAGUACAAUUUGAGGACAACCCAUUCCAACGCGUACACGAUUUUUAACUUUUCUAAAGUUGUUGAGAGCUGUUGAAAGAGAUUUACCAUGUUUACAUCUUCCAAGUCUUGGGAGUAAAAAAUGAAGCCACUGAGUGCUAUAAAAAGGGGGCUAGAGGCUGCCUAGAAGCAUAUCAGCCUAAAACAAGAAUUUGUAGUAACAAUGGGGAGCAAAGCAAAAGCAACGGAGUCUAGGCUGACUCCUCUUCUUACCACUGUUUUAGUGGUAUUUGUUGCCCUUGGCUUGCCCUUGGAAACUGCAGCUGAUUAUUACAAGUAUUCAUCUCCUCCUCCUCCUCCUUACCACUAUUCCUCACCACCACCUCCUGAGUAUUCACCUCCACCAACCCCUGUUUAUAAGUUACCCCCACCAUCUCCUCCAGUUUACAAGUCCUCACCGCCACCUUACCACUACUCACCACCUCCGGUGUAUUCACCUCCACCAUCACCAGUUUACAAGUCACCGCCACCACCCCCUCCAGUAUACAACUCCCCGCCUCCACCAGUGUACAAAUACAAGUCCCCACCGCCACCUCCUCCAGUUUACAAAUCUCCACCGCCACCAAUUUACAAGUACAAGUCACCCCCACCACCUCCUCCGGUAUACAAGUCUCCUCCGCCACCUGUUUACGAGUACAAGUCUCCUCCACCACCUCCUCCAGUGUACAAGUCUCCACCACCUCCAGUUUACAAGUACAACUCACCACCACCUCCUCCCCCAGUUUACCAAUCUCCACCACCACCAGUUUACAAAUACAACUCACCACCACCUCCUCCCCCAGUUUACCAGUCUCCACCUCCACCCUAUCAUCACUACUACGGUUCUCCUCCUCCUCACCACUACUAAGCAAGUGCAUCUAAGUUUUGAGGUAAUAAUACCUAUCCAAAACUUUAUCAACACAAACUGCCAUGUAUAUCAUGCUAAGGACGUACACUUGAUCCAUGAAAAUGACUUGUAGAAGAUUUUUUUUAAGAACCAAAGAAAUACAUUAUUUUUUCGGUCUGUUUUCAAGAAUUUGAGCAGUAUACAGAUUAAAGAGUGUUUUUUUUUUUAAACUUGCUUAUCAACUUAGAAAUGCACAUAGCUGAAAGCCAACUGAAUAUUUGCAGGCAAAGGAGAAGACAAUCGGUGUUUGCGACCUUCAAGAAGAUGUAGAAGAAUAAGAAUAAAAGCCCAAUGCGAGGAUGAUUCCAAGUUUCUACGUUACCAUUUCUACAUCUAAAUUGACUCUAGCUCCUGAGUUCCAUGUUUAUGGGGUUUGUACCGUUUUACGUACCAUGCAGUGCAUGCUUGUAAGGUUUUCUGUCCUGUUGGCAAACUGCAGGUCCAUAUAAUAAAAGAAUACUAUUUAUAUUACGACACUUUUCUCUCUUUCUCUUAUAUUUUGUCUUUAAUAUUGUUGAUCAUUUUUUUUUAUUUAUCAAAAGUAUCAAAUGUUUAGGUAAUUUGGUCUAAUGCUAAUUGUUUUACUUCUCUUUUUCACCUACACCCCUUUUCAACUCAAAGGAUGCUAUAGUUUGUGAUAAUUGUUUAAGACCGAAGCAUGAUACUAAUAAAUAUCUCAUUGAAAGUCAAGGAAACUAACAUUAUGAAAAGUGUAAAUCUUGAUUUGAUGAAACUAUUUAUUCGUGGAAUUUAGAGAUACAAAACUCAAAUUGUGACGGUGCUGUUGCUAAAUUAUUAAGGACAUUAUCACCACUAUUUUUCCCUUACUAGUUUCAACUGCAAUGAUCUCAAUCUUUUUGUGACUAAUUCUUUUCUUAAUAAUUUAUAAAUACAAAACUCACAAAGAAUAUGUGACUAAUUCUUUCCUUUCGUCUUCUAAAGAAAAUGGCAACUGUUAGUUUAUCAAGGGAAAAAGGAUCGACAUCAGUUGUUAUUGAAACUAGUAAGGAAAAAAUAAUGGUGAUAAUGUCCUUAAUAAUUUAACAACAGCACCAUCAGAAUUUGAGCUUUGUAUCUAUAAAUUCCACGAAUAAAUAGUUUCAUCAAAUCAAGAUUUACACUUUUCAUAAUGUUAAGUUUCCUUGACUUUCAAUGAGAUAUUUAUUAGUAUCAUGCUUCGGUCUUAAACAAUGAUCACAAACUAUAGCAUCCUUUGAGUUGAAAAGCGAAGUAGGUGAAAAAGAGAAGUAAAAAAUACAAUUAGCAUUCCCUCAAAUCGUAGAAAGUUAGGUAGCAUUAUAGACAAGUUGAUAGCCGUAAUGAUACUAAAAAUCAGGCAAAAGCCAGCAAUUUUACAUUUCAAAAUUCACCUAUCCAAUAACUAAUUCGAUGGCUUGCUACAUGGUCAAUCUUUGGACCCCUUCCUGCCACCACAUAUCCCUUUCCUCAAUCAGGGGCUUCUACAAUUACCAGUUCCAAUUGUAUGGUAUAGUGUAAAUAUCAACAAAUCAGAUGUAGACGCUAAUUUAAUAAAUGUGGAUGCUAAGACAACAACAUACAAAAACAUAAUAAAUUUUGGCAUUCCUUAAAAAAAUUAAGUCCCCAAAUCAAUCUCAUACACCCAAUUUCUAAUUUAAUUUAACCCAUUCCCUCUAUUAACUACACCAUACAAUACAAUCGAACCCAUUCCCUUCUAAUUUCUUCACAAAAUGCACCUUUCAUCACCGACAUGAUCUUUACCCUAGAAGACUAUUCACCGACUCUCCAUUGACGUCAGAAAAUCUAAGAGUAAUUCUACUUUACCCUAAGAUUGAUAUCAACGAGACAAUAAUGACAAUUUAGAAUUAUUACACGCCUCUUCUUAAUAGGAAAAAGAAAUACAGAAGAAAGUCAGGCCAGGUCUAAUUCUUUUUCAAAGGCAAUACAAUAUUACGAAAUCAAGCAGUCAUUCAUACAAAUAUUUCAUAGUCACCGGCCGGGGUUUGCUGAGUAGAAAAGUUUAUACAAAAACUUAAUAUUAUAUUGUUUAAGAGUUAACAAUUUAGAGCUUAAUCUCCUUGUACUUUGGACUAAACUCGAACGUGAAAGGAAAUCCCAAAACCAUAUUGGGCAUGAAUUCACACUUAAUAGACCCAAAAGAAGAUGGCGACUGGUGAAAGGCAGUGGAGACUGGUGGAGAGAUUUGAGGAAUAGAAGCAGACGGAAAAGCAACAAAUUUUUGCCGAAAAACGGUCACUUUCAUGGUUAAUUUUGCUACUCUCUAAUUGUACUUGACCAAAUACAACAAUUUCAUGGAGUUUGAUACACAAGCCCAAAUACACGAGAGUGUGUAACCUGAAUUGUUACUUAUACAUUAGUGUGUAAUAGAACGGCAAGCAUUAUGGUGGUCAUUGAGCAACUUAUAGAAGAAAUAGUCCUAUAAGCUGUUCGAUGACCAAUCGCAACUUGCUAAUUGGAUGACUAAUAUAGCUCUAGCUGUAAUGUUUUAAUUAAAUUCCAUCACUAACGUUGGGAUGACUUUUUAACCAAAAAAAAAAAAAAAGCCUUAGUUCAAGCUUUUCCCCUUAUUGUGCAUUUUUUAAAACAUUUGAUAGGCACUGCAAAUCUGUCAUUUUGGACAUCAACCCAUAUCCAACACAAGAUUAAAUUAAUAUUAGAAAAAAUUAUUACGUAAUUGGAAAAAAAAAAAGAAGAGACUAAUUUUCAUUGAAACCCACCGACAAACUAAGCGUGUCCAUAGCUUUUGAUUAGUUCAUUGCCGAUCACAUGGAGUAAAGAUUGUGCUCUUUCCCUUUCCCCCCCUUUUGGAAUCGAUACUGUGGAGAAUUGGCUUUUUCCCUCCUUUUUUUCUUUUCUUUUCUUUUCUUUCCUUCUGUACUUUGCAAAACAUAGGUAAAAAUAUGAAAUCCGAAGCAUUCUUUAAUUGGGAUUAAGUAUUGUUCUUGAAAUUAAAAAAAAAAAGAAAGAAAGAACAACAAAAAUCCCAAUCUGGGUUGAUUGUUGAGCUCUAGAUUGGCUGCAUCGUGCUUCCAUAGAAGUUCUCUUAGUGUGAUACGCUGCUUUCAAUCAGUUUUAACACGGGAAAAAGAAAAGACAUGAAAAGCAAAUUUUGUGGGGAUAAUUUCGGUAACCUCCCCUGAAGUUUUUGACUAUUUUACUGGCCUCCCUUCAGAUUUUAAAAAUUGCACUAAUCUUCCUUAAAGUUAAUUAUCUUGUAACAUUUAGAUCCAAUCAAUAAUUUAAAAAAUGAUAUUAUGAGAGAGAAAAUAAUAUGAUUUUAUCAUUGCCCCCAUCUUACUACAUUAUUUAAUUAAUUUAAUAGCAACCCACACAUUAAAGAAAAAUGCAAAAAUUUGUUGUUUAUCAUUAAAGAUCAUCAUAUCGCAUAUAACAUCAAAAAAUAGUAUAUUAUUUAUAUUUUUCACUUAAUAUAAUAUCCAAAUUACUCUUUUCAGUUACAUACCCAUUGUUAGACAAAAUCAACAACAAAUAACCAAAAAAUUUGCAACCAAAAUAUUACAAAAAAAUAAACUUUAACAUCAUAAAUAUUUUUAUCAACAUAUUAAAGUUAGUUAUUGAAAUUUUUAUGGUGUUAAACUUCACUCUUUGUAAUAUUUUGGUUACAGAUUUUUUUGAUUAUUUGUUGUUGAUCGUGUUUGACAAUGGAUUUGUAACUGAAAAGAACAAUUUGGAUCUUACAUUAAGUGAAAUAUAUAAAAAUAUUAUACUAUUUUUUAUGGCAUAUGUGAUUCUUUUUUUUUUUUUUUUUUUAUCAGAACGGCAACAUUGUAUUAAUAGUAAACCAAUUACAGUAUAGGUGGGCAACCGCCCUCACAAUCUGCCUGGACUUGUUCCAGCAGCCAAACUGGGAAGUUUUCCUUCCAUUCAGUAUUUUGUUCCAAAGUAAUAGCUACUUUAGCUAGUUUAUGGCUAACAAAGUUGUUCACCCUAUUUGCAAAGGUAAAACAACAUUCAUCAAAUUUUAUUCAUGUACAAUUGUUGCUAUCACCACGUCCUCCUCCUCCUCCUCACUGCACACUACUUGACUACCACCCUUCGCCAACCUUGCUGUUGCAUGUGCAACUAUCAUGGCCUCUCUUAGCGCCUUUGCUUCUUCGACCUUUGGACUGGCACAGCUAAAAUUUGGAACAGCCCAGGCCCACCCGCAAUCUUCCCAACCAAUCCCUGGCCACCCUUUUCCCACCCAGCUUCUAUGGCAUGUGUGAUUCAAUCCUUCUUGAUAGGAUUGGUAAUAGAGGCAGAGGGGGGAGCCGGCUGCAUCCGGUCUACUUUUCAUAGAUAGUACAAUAUUGCGAAAUCGAUCGCAUUCACACAAGAAUAUUUCGAAGUCAUUGCAUCGCUAAGUUGCAAAAAAGUACAAACACUUGUUAUUAUAUAGCUUAAGAUUCAAAACUUUAGAGCACAACCCUCCACCUAACACAAUUGAAUAAUGAAUAUUCACGAUUGUCAAAUCUGUCAAAGCACAGUUUGAGGACAACCCAUUCCAACCUGCAAAAGAUUUUUGACUUUUUUAAAGUUGUUGAGAGCUGUAAAAAGACUUACCAUGCUUACAUCUUCCGAGCCUUGGGAGUUAAAAAUGAAGGCACUGAGUGCUAUAAAAAGGGGGCUAGAGGCUGCCUAGAAGCAUAUCAGCCUAAAACAAGAAUUUGUAGUUAUGAUGGGAAGCAAAGCAAAAGCAAUGGGGUCUGGGCUGACUCCUCUUCUUACCACUGUUUUAGUGGUAUUUGUUGCUCUUGGCUUGCCCUCAGAAACUGCAGCUGAUGAUCACUACAAGUAUUCAUCUCCUCCUCCUCCUUACCACUAUCCCUCACCACCACCUCCAGUGCAUUUACCUCCACCAGUGUACAAAUACAAGUCCCCACCACCACCUCAUCAUGUUUACAAGUACAAAUCUCCACCACCCCCACCACCACACCCAGUUUACAAGUAUAAGUCGCCACCACCACCUCCUCAUCCGGUAUACAAGUACAAGUCUCCUCCGCCACCUCCUCAUCCGGUACCACACCCAGUUUACAAGUAUAAGUCACCACCACCACCUCCUCAUCCGGUACCACACCCAGUUUACAAGUAUAAGUCUCCUCCGCCACCAGUUUACAAAUAUAAGUCUCCUCCACCACCACCUCCAGUGUACAAAUACAAGUCUCCACCACCACCAGUUUACCACUACAAGUCUCCACCACCUCCUCCCCCAGUUUACAAAUACAAGUCUCCACCACCACCAGUUUACCACUACAAGUCUCCACCACCUCCUCCCCCAGUUUACAAAUACAAGUCUCCACCACCACCACCACCAGUUUACCACUACAAGUCACCACCACCUCCUCCCCCAGUUUACAAAUACAAGUCUCCACCACCUCCUCACCACUACUAAGCAAUUGCUUCUGAGGUAAUAACACUUGUUCAAUAUACACACUUCUGCAUGAUAAAACAUAUCUCUAUCAACACAAACUGUCAUGUCUAUCAUGCUAAGUGCCUUCACUUCAUCCACGAAAAUGACUGCUAGAAAAUUUUUUUUUAAGUUACCAAAGAAAAGCAUCAUUUUUUCCCUCUGUUAUCAAGAACUUGUACAGUAUGUAGAUUAAAGAGUUUUUAUUUUAACUAGCUUAUCAACUUAGAAAUGCAUAUAACUGAUAGCCAGCUGAAUAUUUGCAGGCAAAGGAGAAGGAAACCAGUGUUUGGACCUUCUUGAAGAUGUAGAAGCAUAAGAAUAAAAGCCCAAUGUGAAGAUGAUGAUUUCAAGUUUUUCUACGUUACCAUUUCUAUAUCUAAAUUCGUUGUAGCGCCUUAGUUCCUUUGUUUAUGGGAUUUGUAUCGUUUUACGUACCAUGCAGUACAUGUCAUGUUUGUAAGGUUUUCUAUCCUGCCGGCAAAUCGCAGGUUCCAUGUAAUAAAUCAAUACUAUUUAUAUUACGACACUUUUCUCUGUUUCUCUUAUAUUUGUUUGGAUUGAGCUUUAUUUCCCCAAAUUUAUUUGCUUACAUCAUCAUUACAAUUUCUAAUACACCUUUUUACCUUCCCGAUUACCUUUUUAUCUCACAUACAUCACAUCACAAAAAGUGCUACAGUAAAAAUAUCUCUAAUAAUUCACAAUCCAAACAGACUUUUGUCUUUAAUAUUCUUAAUCAUAUUUUUAACAAAAAUAUUCAAAUACUUAGGUAAUCUGGUCUAAUGCUAAUUGUAUGUUUUACUUUUCUUUUUCACCUGCUCCCCUUUUCAACUCAAACGGAUGCAAUAGUUUGUGAUCCCUGUUUAAGACGGAAGCAUGAUACUAAUGAAUAUAUCAUUGAAACUCAAGGAAACUAACAUUAUGAAAAGUGUAAAUCUUGAUUUGAUGCAACUAUUUAUUCGUGGAAUAUAUAGUUACAAAACUCAAAUUCUGACUGCGCCAUUGAUAAAUUAUUAAUGACGCUAUCAUCAUUAUUUAUCCCUAACUAGUUUCGACUACAACUGAACCCAAUAUUUUCCCCAUGAUAAAAGUUUUUGACUAUUUUACUGGCCUCUCUUCAAAUUUUAAAAAUUACACUAAUCUUCAUUGAGAUUAAUUAUCUUGUAACAUUUAGUUCCGAUCAAGAAUUUAAAAAUGAUAUUAUGAGAGAAAAAAUAAUAUAAUUUUAUCAUUGCCCCCCAUCUUGCUAUAUUAUUUAAUAAAUUUAAUAGCAACCCACACAUUAAAGAAAAAUACUAAAAUUUGCUACUUUUCAUUAAAGAUCAAAUUGCAUAUGCCAUAAAACAUAGUAUAUCAUUCUAUGUGUUUCACCUAAUGUAAGAUCCCAAUUGUUAUUUUCAAUUACAAACCCAUUGUCAAACAUGAUCAACAACAAAUAACCAAAAAAUUUGCAACCAAAAUAUUACAAAAAAAAAUAAACUUUAACAUCAUAAAUAUUCUUACCACCUCCAGUGCAUUCACCCUCACCAACCACUAGUUUACAAGUCACCCCCACCACCUUACCACUAUUCCUCACCGCCACCCACAGUGCAUUCACCUCCACCACCACCUGUUUAUAAGUCACCUCCACCACCUUAUCAUUAUUCGUCACCACCAUCUGCAUUGCUUUCACCUCCAUCAUCACCAGUUUACAAAUCACCACCACCAUCUUCCCCAGUGUACAAGUCCCCUCCACCACCAAUUUACAAGUCUCCGCCGCUAUGUCCCCCAGUAUAUAAGUCAUCCCCACCACCGCCUCCAAUGUACAAGUCUCCGCCGACACCAAUCUACAAGUACAAUUCACCACCACCCAUGCCUCCAGUUUACAACUCCUUGCCACCACCUAUUUACAAACACAAGUCUCCCCCACCACUUCCUCCGGUAUACAAGUCAUCUCCACUGCAUCCUCCAAUUUAUGAGUCUCCUCGUCCACCAGUUUACGAGCACAAGUCUCCUCCACCGCCUCCUCCAGUAUAUAAGUCACCACCACUAUCUCCUCCAGUACAUGUCUCCACCACCGCCUAUUUACAAAUCUCCGCCUCCUCCAGUUUACAAUUCCCCACCACCACCAAUAUACAAGUCUCCACCUUCAUCCAACCAUUACUACUAUAAUACUCCUCCUCCUCCUUCGCACUACUGAGGAAUUGCAUCCAAGUUUUGAGGUAAUAACGCGUAACCAGUAUAAACUUUUGUAUGAUAAACCUUAUCCCGAUCAACACAAACUGCCAUGUGUAUCAUGCUAAGUACGUACGCUUAGAUCCAUGAAAAUGACUAGUAGAAGGUUAUCCUAAGAACCAAGGAACAUUAGUUUUCCCUCUGUUUCCAAAAACUUGUGUUUGUUUAACAUGCUUAUCAACUUGGAAAUGCGCAUUGCUAAUAGCCAACUGAAAUUUUUGCAGGCAAAUUGGGAAGAGAAUCAGUGUUUGAGCGGUUCAUGGAAGAAUAAGAAUAAAAGCCCAAUGCGAGGAUGUUCUCAAGUUUAUUAAUGUUUCCGUUCUAUUUUGUAAAUUGAUUUUUGCGACUUAAUUAAUUCCCUGUUUGUGGGGUUCGUGUUGUUUUACCUACAUGCCAUACAUGUUUGUAAUGAUUUUUAUUGCAAAAUGCCGGUCCAAUAAAAUAACUGUAUUCAUUUUGUGUCUUUUGAGUAAACUUCUAUUGGUUCUACUACUUAUUUUACGAUAUUUUUUUUCUCUCUUUCUCUUACAUUUUCCGUUUAAUAUUAUUGAUAAUUUUUUUAACAAAAAAGGUUGAUAUACUUAGGUAGUUCACUAGUUUGGUCUAAUCCUAACUUCAGGCUUGUCUUGUCUUUUAUCUCUACAUACCUUUUCAACUCAAAGGAUGCUACUAUAAUUUGUGAUCAUUGUAGUGGUGAUAUUCCGAGCUAUUACAUAUAAUUUAAGGCAGAGAUUUGAUCCUAGCGAGUAUCUCACUGACAGAUUAGGAAACAUCAUGAAAAGCGUAUAUCUUGAAUUAGUGCAACUAUUUCUUAGGGGAAUUUAUAGUUACAAAAUUCCAAAUUUUGAGAUUCUAUUACUGAUUAAUUAAGGACGUUAUCACUAUUUUUUUUUAAUUAUCACCAUUAAAUACCCCACAUACUAUAAGUUUUUUUAGGGCACAGGAAAAGAGGUGGGCCGAUGUUUAGUUAUCUACAAAAGUUCAAAUUUUGUAGAUAAAUUAUCAUGCGCCCUUAAAGAGUGCAGAAUACCAAAAAAAAAAAAAAAAAAAAAUCAUAUACUAUAACUAAUCCUAAUAUUUUUCCCUACGAUAAACUAACUCUUAUCCAUUUCUUUAGAUGAUGAAAGGAAAUAGUUAGUCACAUAUCCUCUAGUGAUUACAACAGCAUCAAAACAAAUUAGCACUCUUUUCCCGUAGUUUAAAAAUCCCUCAGCCACUAAGAUUUUGCAUAUCGAACGAAUUAAGGAACAUAGGCGCUUCGUGCUGGACAACAGUGUCCUUGUUGACGAUGCAUCCGCAUAUACUUCCUUAAGCAUUUUGAUUAUUUUAUGAUUCGAAUUUUUCUUGUCUGACAGCUGGACUUAAUUGAAAAACUCAAGUAAUAAUAUUCCAAAGCUGAUUCGUCAAAGUUUACCCAAUUGGUGAAACUUUCUUAAUAGAGCUGACUUUGUAUUACGUGACAAUGAUAUGGAUGCUCAAAGUUUUCAAUGGGAAAUUUAUAUGAGCUUUUCACGACAAAAUGUGUUCCGAUAAAGGUUCAUUCCAGAGGUUAAAAUUUUGUUUGUUAAAAAUUUACUUCUCAAGUCUUUGAUGCGAAAGUCUUGGUAUUUCCAAAAAGUCUUGAAAUCGCAGCAUAUAAGCCACUUUCUGUUCUCUUUUUUUCAUUGAAGUCUUUCCAAAUGUCAGUUCCAAAAGGAGUUUUUUAUGAAUUAUGAUAGAUAAUUAAUCUGACGGUCCAUAUAUAUGUGAUUUGCAAGAGGGUGUUUGGCGAAAUGGUUAGGCUUUCUAAGUAAUGAUAGGAAUGCCAUUUGCAAAGAAGGACAGGGGGCCUGUGCUGUCAUAUUUUAUGCGAUUUGAUCCGUUGUUGUAUAAGUUUAAAUUUUUGACGUGCAAUUGUGCUACAAUAUUAUACUAAAUAUAUGUGUGAAAUAUUUUGUCUAUAUACAUCACUUUUAUCGUGAAUACAACAGCUGAGUAUAAUAAUAUAAUAUAAUGUAAUUAUACACCAAAUAAUGUAACAAAUAUAACAAUCGAUCUGAAUUACACGAAAUCAUAACAACAAGAUCACCGCCUCCCAAAUUUUACAAAAUAAGGUUUUUUUUUUCUUUUAGAUUAUUGAAAAUUUUCAAAAAUAUUCUACAUAAUUUAAAUUUUUGUCCUACAAAAAUUAAAAGAGAUUUUAUAUUGCACGCUUAAGCUUAGAUAUAUUAAAGUUUGCCCCCAAGAUUAAUUUUCCGUUUUUAUCUAUGGUUUCUCAUCUAUGAGCCGAUCCAUAUAGCUAGUUAGACUGUACUCCUCACAUUUGUGGGAUUUGACACCCAAGAUUCUCCUUCUUGGAAUGUAAAAUGUAGAUCUUCUAUGUUAAUAAUUCAGGACCCAACUGUCAUAAACGAAAUGACUGAUCAACUCCUGUAAAUCUAAUUUAACAACAUUUAAAUGGAGAACUUUAGCUAAAAGAAUUAUGGUUAUUUUCCAACAUAUGCAAUCAUUGAUCAGAAUAUAUAUAUAUAUAUGUAAAAGACAUCUUCAGUCAUUUCAUAGCUUACCAGGCAAAUUAACCCCUAAGUGAACCUCUUCGAACAGAACUGACAAUAUGGAUGAAGAUCUGGAUAUUCUUUUAUCCUGACUCCUAAGGGAAAACUGGUUGAUCUAGAAUCAAAAUUUUACCCUAGUUACCCAGGCAACUUUUUUGUUGCCUUUUUUUUUUUUGGUAUAAAGCUCCAAUUUUGCUCCCUCUGUUAAGCUUAUAAUGCAUAUAAUUAUUAAGAUAAUAAAAGUGCCUUGAAUAGUAUUAAUAUAUGCAUUGACUUGAGCUGUCAUCAGUUCGGCCACUUCGAUUCCAUGAGGCCUUUUCAAUUCACACUAGCUAGAAAAUGGGGAGUCGUGAAAACCUUUUGUUCUAUUCAUUGCUAAGAUGCUUUUCUCUAUAAAGAGACUUCCUAACGAAAAUACUUUGUAGAUUUCUUUACUCCAAGUGGUGCAUGAAAAAUUAAUAUUUUCAAUUAACAAAUAAAAUUCCCUUUUUUUGGUGUAGAUUUCAUCCAUCCAGCUGUUAACACAUUCUAUAAAUCCGAAUUGACUAAUCUUUUCAUUUCCAUUUUCCAACUUGCGAAUACGGCAUCUUAUAUAAUGUCUGCUAAACACUAUAUAUUCUCUGCCAAAUAUGAAUACAUAUCACUUUUCUGAGCAAGUGCAGAGUCAUUAUCAUUUUUAUUCCCACAUAACAAAUUAGUGGUUGAGCAUCUUUACAUGCUAUCAGGUCACAAGUUAAUAAUCUUUUAAAGAACAUGUUAAAUUAAUUUAUUGGUAUGAAUAGUCAAAGAAGUAUGUUAAAGUUAGCAAUCUUUAAAAUAAUAUGUUAAAAUCAUUAGUACAAAUUAGUCAGAGAAGUAGCAUAAACACCACGAUGCAAUUAAUACUUUCAAUCUCAAGGUCUCUCUUACGGAAAUUUGCAUCGGUCAACAUACACAAAGCAUAAUUGUAUGCACGUCUCUCUAUCAUGGAAUUUGCAUAGGUCAAUAUACACUUGGCAUAGUUGAUAGUUGUAUGCGCGUAGGCAUGGCCAUGGUUCCAUUUGGAACUGGGAAUCAGACCGAAACCGGAUCGUUUGGAACCAGAUCAGAACCGGAAUCAAAACCAUGAAACCAGAACCGUGAUAGAACCUUGGAUAAAGGUUCCGGUUCUGGUUCUCUAAAAAAUAGAACCAGAACCAGAACCGUUAAAAAUAAUUAAUAUAAGUGGUGAGAUAAUUCAAAAAAAAUUAGUUGUGUUUAAUAGGUUUUAAGAAAGUUUAAAUUUUAUGGACUUUCUAUAUAUUUUAUUAAUUAUUUAAUUCUUUCUAUUCAUCUAAUAUUUAUCAUUAUAAUUUGCAAGUAUUAAAUUAUUACUUAAAAUUUUUUUUUUUUUUUGCUUAUUUGCUAUCAAAUGACAAGUUUUGAUGGUAGUAGCUCAUCUUCAAAAUCAAGCAAGCAAAAAAAUAUUUUUUGCAAUAUUUCUUCAAAUGGAAUCUUCAACAUUGAUGAUUGUCCAACUCAAGAAAGUCAACAUAUGACAACCAUUUGAUAGUGUAAUGUAUUUUUUAAUUUGACAAUGUAAUGUACUUUUCAUAAAAUUUAUAUUAUCUAUUUAUUACUUCUUACUUUGUAGAAUAAUAAUAAAAUUAAAAUAUGAUCUUUAUUUUGUAUUUAUUUUUUUACGUUUUAUUUGAAAUUUUAAAUAUAUUGUUAUAUUCGUAUUAAAAUUGGUAAGGAUAAGGAAUUAAAUAAAAUUGUAUAUAACCAUACAGAACCGGAAACCGGAACCAGAACUAUAAGGAACCAAAAUCAGAACUAUGCGGUUCUGGUUCUACCUCUUUGAAGAACCAGAACCAGAACCAUUUUAUAUGGUGCGGUUCUGGUUCUACCUUUUUUAAGAACCAGAACCGGCGGUUCUAGAACCGUGGUCAUGCCUAUAUGCACGUCUUUUAUUUUAUUUUAUUUUAUUUUUUGGUACUGUUCUUCCUUGCUUUAUAGUAUGCACGUUUAUUUCUUUGGAUUGCUUAAGAUUAUAUUGUUAAUAAUAGGGCAUUUAACCAUAAAUUAUAAUAAUUAUGAAGUAAUAUAUAUUAGAAAAUUAACACAAUUAUGAUUUUUUUUUUUUGUAAAUUCAAAUUUUAUUAAUAAGAAAUGAAAUAGACCGUAAGCAAAAACAAAAUCCUACAACAACUCUAGGACUCUACACCUUAUAUAAAAAAAAACUAGGACUCUAUACCUCAGAGAAGCUAAACAAUCCAACAAAUAAAAUGCAAAAUAAAUCACAAUAACGCAAAUUAUGUUAAGCUAAUAAAUACUACCAUGCAACAAAAUUUUUGUCUUUGUCCCGCGUGAAACUACGAAGUCAAGAAUUGACUCCUUUAACCAGUAUUGCCAGCGGGGCUCCGUCAGCAAGAUACAACUUUGCAAUUUUAUACAAUAGAAAUCCUCAAAUAGCUAUUUUGACAGGCAAAUUAAGCAUUAAUUUUGGUAUCCCUUCAUAAAAUACAAGAGUACUUUUGAUUAUAUCUAUAGAUCAACUUUCUAGGCUUGAUGUAUUAUAAGAAAAAUCUGCCUAAACAUUUUGAUAGCAUUUUUCCAAAAGCAGAAGAUGGAAAAUUGCCCAUUUGUAAUGGGGAGUUCGUGAUCUUUUCCUCAUUCUAGUCUACUUACAAUUCUUGGAAAAAGGAAUACUCACAUCUCAAACAACAGCCAGCUCAUCUGCGCUGUCCUGCAGAAUUCUAGAAAGUUAGGUGGCAAUGUUAAUAACAUUUCAAAAUUGACUGCUGCGAUAACUAAUUCGAUGGCUUACUACAUGGUCAACGUUUGGAUCCCUUCCUGCCGGCACUGUCCUUUUUGGAUGCACAUUUUUUUUCUCUAGGUAAUAUAAUCACCCAACUCAUUUCUUUACAAAUGCACCUUUAAUCACCACCAAAAGGUGUGGACAUGAUCUUUACCCUAGAAAACUAUUCACCGACAGGCAAAUUGACGUCAGAAAUACUAAGAGGAAUUCUAGUUUCCUUCGGGUUAAUGCCAUUUUGUACCCUUCAACUGUAACUCGAUUUCUAAGCUGUAAUUUGUGACAUUAUAGUCCUUAAACUAUGAAACCCUUCUUACUUAAGUAUAAUGGUUAAUACAAUACUGGUGAUUAGACAAGUAUGAAGCAACCAUAACAAAAAAAAAUCCAAAAUUAGAGAAAAGAAAGAUGUUUCGCGACCAAAGUAUGUAUCAAGGCAUAGUAUAGAAAUAAAAGUGUCAAAAUUAAGAGUUUAGGGAUAAAAAAGAAUCAAGAUAUAGUUUAGGGAUUGAUUUGUCUCAAUUAGAGCUUAGGUGUCAACUAAGAAGAGAGAUAUAGUUGAAGGGUAGAAUAUAGAUAUAAAGGUUCAAUGAUUGAUAUCAGUGAGACAAUGAUAACUUUGGAUUAUUACCAACCUCUUCUGGAUGGGAAAAGGAAAUAGAGAAGAAAGUCGGGCCUGGUCUAAGCCUGUUUCGGAGGCAAAACAACAUUAUGAAAUCACCGGCAUUCAGACAAAUAUGUCAAAGUCACCGGCAUGCUAAGUUGCAAAAUUUAUACAAACACUUAAUAUUAUAUUGUUCUUAAAAUUUUUGUUUAAGAUUUAACAAUUAGAGCACGGUACACGAAUUAGAAAUAUUAAAUAAUGAAUGUUCACGAUUGAUAAAGUUAUCAAAGUACAGUUUGAGGACAACCCAUUCCAACGUGUACAAGAUGUUUAGCCUUUGAAAAGUUAAUUAGAGAAGGUGACGAGAUUUUACGAGGCUGACAUCAUCUAGGCCUCGAGAGUAAAAAAUGAAGACACUGAGCGCUAUAAAAAGAGGGCUAGAUGUUGCCUAGAAGCAUAUCAGCCUCAGACCACGUUUUGUAGCAAUGGGGAGCAAAGCAAAAGCAAUGGGGUCUAGGCUGACUCCUCUUCUUACCACCGUUUUAGUGGUAUUUCUUGCUCUUGGCUUGCCUUCAGAAACUGCAGCUGAUUACUACAAGUAUUCAUCUCCUCCUCCUCCUUACCAUUAUUCCUCACCACCACCUCCUAUGCAUUCACCCCCACCACCGCCAGUUUAUAAGUCACCCCCACCACCUUACCACUACUCCUCACCGCCACCUCCAGUGUAUUCAUUUCCACCACCUUUGCCAAUAUACAAGUCUCCGCCACCACCUUACCAUUAUUCCUCACCACCACCCCCAGUGCAUUCACCCCCACCACCACCAGUUUACAAGUCUCCCCCACCACCUUACCAGUAUUCCUCACCACCACCUCCGGUGCAUUCACCACCACCUCCUCCAGUUUACAAGUCCCCGCCACCACCUUACCAUUAUUCCUCACCACCACUUCCAGUGCAUUCACCUCCACCAUCACCGAUUUACAAGUCUCCACCACCACCUUACCAAUAUUCCUCACCACCACCUCCACUGCAUUCACCUCCACCACCACCGAUUUACAAGUCACCUCUACCGCCUCUUCCAGUUUACAAGUCUCCGCCACCACCUUACCACUAUUCCUCACCACCACCUCCGGUGCAUUCACCUCCACCACCACCGGUUUACAAGUCACCUCCACCACCUCCUCCAGUUUACAAGUCCCCGCCACCACCUUACCAUUAUUCCUCACCACCACCUCCGGUGCAUUCACCUCCACCACCACCGGUUUACAAGUCACCUCCACCACCACCUCCAGUUUACAAGUCCCCGCCACCACCUUACCAUUAUUCCUCACCACCAACUCCAGUGCAUUCACCCCCAUCACCACCAGUUUACAAGUCUCCGCCACCACCUUACCAUUAUUCCUCACCACCAUCUCCGGUAAAUUCACCUCCACCACCACCGGUUUACAAGUCACCUCCACCACCUCUUCCAAUUUACAAGUCCCCGCCACCACCUUACCACUAUUCCUCACCACCACCUCCAGUGCAUUCACCCCUACCACCACCUGAUAGGGUAUAAUUUGUUAGUAUUUUUAUUAUUAAUUUUCCCUUCUAUCCCUGACAAAUAUUGUGUUAAUUGCUGAUAUUUACUCAUAUUUGGUAUUUGGAAUCAAUUUCAGGAAUGAAGCAGAAAACUACCAAAAAGGAGGGACUUUGUGAAAAAUAUGGAGACUUCUAAGGGCUUCAAUCCUUGGGCCCUUGAAUUGGUGGGGGACCACAAGCUAGUGAAAGGCAUUUGGUCAUUUGGGCUUCAAAGAAAGCAACGUAGAGAGACUUGGAACAAGAAGUACUUGGGAGGCUUUGUCCACAUGUGUGGGGACCACCUAGAUAGCUUUUAGUCAUCUUUCUUUUGUUGCUUUAAAAGGGGACAACGUACAGAAGCAAAAGAUAUCUAGGGCUUUAGUUUUAGUUUUUAGUUUAGUUCUAGUUUUCUUUCUUUGGACUGGCCUCUGACACACGCCAGGUAUUCGACAAUAUUCCCCAACGGGGAGAUUUUCUCAUGAGGCGUGGUUAAGCUUUUCAAGGGGACACUGACGAUUUGGUUCAAUUUACUGUGAGAUCGAAUCUGUUUUAUUUUUUUCUUCAUUUUGGUUUUUAUAUGUUCCUUGAUUUUAAUUGCUAUGGCCUUGUGUAUGAUUGAUUAGUGCACAAUAAUUAAUUAUUCAUAUAGGCUAUUUUUGCUAAAUAGGGGUAAUUGAAUCCGUAAUUGUUCGUUAUCUCUACCUCAGUAGCAACUGGCGUAAUUGGGUUUAUGUCAGGGGAGCAUAUGAUCUAAUUUAAACAAACCCUCGUAGCGUAUUUGUUGGUUAGGAUUGGGCCUUUCUAAUUAUUAUGCAAUCUAGAAAUUAAAUCCUACGGUCGUACCUAGGGUUAUUUUUGGGUUAGAGAAAUAGCUAACGGUCGUACCUUAGCUAUCGAGAAAUUAAGGAAGGGUUGGUUGUUUAUCGCGUGCAUGACAACUAUAACUAAUCUAUUGCUAAAUGUUGGAAUUAUUUCUGCAUCAAUGAUCAGUGCCUGAACCAUUUCUGAAGUGUACCCUUGGCUAGAGUUUCUCUUAAUUAUUUCUUUUAAUCAAUUAUUUUCUGCACUUGAUUUAUUUAGUUAGCAUUUAAUCCAAGAACCUCCCAUACUCUGGACUCUAGAAGAAACGAAUUAUCCCCAAUCCCUGUGGAUUCGACCCUGCUCGCCGCUAUAUACAAAAUCUGUAUUUUUCUUGAGUAGGUAAUUAUUAUUGCACAGGUUCGGCACCUGUCACCACCAGUUUACAAGUCUCCGCCACCACCUUACCAUUAUUCCCCACUACCACCUCAAACGCAUUCACUCCCACCACCAGUUUACAAGUCACCGCCACCACGUUCUCCAGUAUACAAAUCACCUCCACCACCUCCUCUAGUUUACAAAUCUCCACCACCAUCAAUUGAUAAAUACAAGUCUCCUCCAGUGUACAAGUCAUCUCCACCACCUGCUUACAAGUCUCCACCUCCUUCAGUUUACAGUUCCCCACCACCACCAAUCUACAAGUCUCCACCUCCACCCUACCAUUACUACUACAAUUCUCCUUCUCCUCCUCCUCCUUCUCACUACUAAGCAGUUGUAUCCAAGUUUUUGAGGUAAUAACGCUUAACCAAUAAAUUAACUUUCGCAUGAUAAACCUUAUCCCUAUCAAGACAAACUGCCAUGUGUAUCAUGGCAAAUCCGUACACUUAGAUCCAUGAAAAUGAGUGGUAGAAGGUUUUCUUAAGAACCAAGGAACAGCAAUAGUAUUCCCACUGCUUCCAAAAACUUGUGUAUUAAAUAGAUUAACGAAUUGUUUAACAUGCUUAUCUACUUGAAAAUGCACAAUACCCAUAACCCAUUGAAAUUUUUGCAGGAAAAGGGGAAGAGAAUCUGUGUUUGAGAGCUUCAUGAAGAUGUUGAAGAAUAAGAAUAAAAGCCCAAUGCGAGGAUGUUUUCAAGUUUUUCUAUGUUUCCACUUUAAUUUGUAAAUUGAAUUUUGCGACUCAAUUAAUUCCCUGUUUGUGGGGUACAUAUUGUUUUACGUACCAUGCCGUACAUGUUUGUAAGGAUUUCUAUCCUAUUGGCAAAAGUCGGUUCCAUACAAUUAAUCAAUUCAUUUCACUUCUAUUGGCUCUACUAUUUAUGCAUGUUACGACAUUUUUUCUCUCUUUCCCUUAUAUUUUGCCUUUAAUAUUAUUGAGUCAAUAGUAAAAUUAUACUAUUAUAAAUAGGUAGUUUGGUCUAACGCUAAAUUCAUGUUUGUCUUUCUUUUAUUCCCUUUACAUCUCAAAGUAUACCAUAGUUUGUGAUCAUUGUGGUGAUGAUACACUACAACAAAAAUGGCCUUUCCUGACAUGUCUAUAAGGACACUUGCUGGUUUUUGUCAUUAUAGCACUUCUAUCAUGACAUUUGUUAUCAAUUCACUAAUUUAUACUUUUUUUUAUUUUAUCUGAUAUAAAAAUAAUAAUGUGUCUUUAGAUUUCCUAUCAUGGCAUUUUAGAAAAUGUGAGAUACAACGAAAAAAUUAAAACAUAAAACGAUGUCGUUUGAUUUUGACGGAAGAUUCAUUUGCCAAAACACUUAGUGAAAUCUCAAAACUUUCAUUGUGUCGAUUCUUCUCCUCUCUCUCACAAACCCUCUCUCUCGGCAGACUAUCUCUCAAAACUCCCCCAUUUUGGUUCUUUUGUCUUCCGCCUUCGCCGCCGCCCCACUCCUCCAUUUUCGGUUGCUAACUUGGCCGCUUCUCUGCCCUAUUCGGUCAACCACGACACCUACACCAAUAAGUCUUCGCUCUCUUUGCUAGGACAAAAGGAAUAAAAAAACAGAUACUCAUGUUCUUUCCUUUUUCUUCUUUCCUCUGAAACCGAUCCCCAUGCUUCUCCGUACUGACUAGAUAUUCAGGUUGAGCGUGUUGAGGAGUAGAGUAGGCGAAGGUUGCCGCCAUCGUCUCAUUGAAGUCCAGCCACUACAGCGGAAAUCAUCACUGUAAAGUUUCCCGUACUCUUAUACCUUUUUUCCCCCUUAAUUGUAUUGUUUUCUUCUUUGUCUGCAAUCAUGUCGGUUAUGCUUUACUUUCGUCUUGUUAAUCGAUUUUAAGUGGCUGGAAUUGAUCAUAGGUUUGAGUAGAGUUUUAGAUUUAAAAUUCAAGCUCAGGCCGUAUAAGGAACUGAUGAAAAAGAAAUUUCAAAACUUUUCAUCCUCACUACUUGUUUGUCGGAAGGUUCGAAUGAAGAAAGAAGGAAAUUUGCAAUGGAAGUGAACAGAGAGAGAUGAAAGUGAUUGGAGAGUGAAAUUUUGCCUUGGUGAACUUUUCUUUUGUUUUUGAUCAUCAAGUGCAAUAGAAAAGUACAUUUAGUACAAUUUCCUAACUAUCUUAGAGGAAAUCUUGUUUGGAACUUUCGCUGGAUGCUAUGCAACUUAUUUUUGAUGCUUUGGUCAUGAUUGUUGUUCUGUUUGCUACAGCCCCAUAAGAAGGUUUUUUUUUAAUUAUUAUUAAAAAUUACCGCAUAGCUUGGAUACUUUUGCAUUCCAUGCACCAUGUCAGCUAUUCAUAGCACAUAGCACUAAAGUAGAGCACUCUGUAAUUUUGGAGAUGUUUCAUCUACGCAUUCAAUUAUUUCGAGUUUUUAGUCCAAUGGGUAAUAAAUUGGUUGUACAUCACUUAUUAUGUUGCAUCCCAGUUAUAUUGACCUAGAACAAUUACCAUAUAGACAAAAAGAAGAUAUUAACUGCAGCAAAUUGAAGAAUAAAAAGAGUAUUUGUCAAAUCUUUUCUCCCAACAUCCCUCGUAAUUCUUUCCCCCAACCUCAACUUAGGCACACAUUGUGUCUCUCCUUUUCUUCUUCAAACUAAAUGUUCUUCUCAUGGACAAAUAAGAAUAAUUUGAAUUUAUGAGGAUACAGAGGAAGAGAAUGAAGAUGGAGAAGUUAAUUGUUAUAACUCCAGUUAUGAUAAAGUUGAAGAUGACUUUACAUAAGAUGGAUUAAGUGACUAGUGCUCUAUUGUAAGAUGCUGGGUGCAUAUCUUAAUUUCUUUGAAUUGACUUUAUAUCUCAAAAAAAAAAAAAAUUGAAGGGAUUCUAUAUUUAUUUGACUUGUGUGGUAUUUAUUUGUGUGACUGUCUUGUUUUUUGUCUGCUUUUAUGAUCUAGAGCAUUGAUUACUCUAUAUUUUUAGACAAGAAUAUAUUGUUUUUGUUGUAGAAUUUCUGUAGAAAAAAUACAGAUCUUGCACAUUAAACCCAAUGGGGACUGUUUGCACUAUAAUGCAUUAUGGGCAACUAACAAAUUGGGAUUUGCUAGCCAUUCAAUAUUUUGUAAAUCCUCUGCAGUGUAACAUACUGGAAAUUGCCUUUCAGUUACAGUCUCCAGCGAAGUGUCCUGAUUUAGUCUUUCAAGUUGGAAUGUGACUAAUAGUUUCUUAUCUUUUAAAAGUUUGCCAAUUUCAGGAGGAUUGGUUACAUAGUUUUUUAAGAUUUCUUUCCUCCAGUGGGCACUUAAAAAAAUAGUGAUUAUUGAGUGCUUUGAUCUGUUGAAAUUUAAUUGAAAAUUUUCCGAUCAUUAAUUGACACACUUCAAAAUACUAAUGACUACAUAUGUCAAAGCACAACCUAGGAAAUUAUAUCAGCACGUGCUCCGAUUGUAUGGUACUAAACUUGCAGUGCUUCCACAAAGAAUGUGAAGAGCACAUAUAUACUGAUCAUUGAAAAGAUAGAUUUCUAUUAUGAUUCUGCUAAUGUUUGAAGCACUAAAUGUGAAAUUGCUAUCUAUUUUGAAUGAGUAUCUGUUUCUAUGAAAACUUUGGACAAAUAUGCAUAUGACAAUAGUUUCUAAUGAAGUUACAAACGAUGCUGAACCUUUGGCAUUAUACCAAGAAGGUGUUAAUCAAGUUAACUGGUUACACUUCUAAGCCCUUGCCUGUGGGCAGAAUCUGAGCUAGCUUUAUUCAUUUGUAGCAAGAAGUAAUUUUGCAUGCCAAUGCCAUGCAUUGUUGACUAACCUGUCGCAUUCAGUGUUUGGACAGGUGGGAGUAUAUUGGCGGCACUUGGUUCCUUUCAGCAAAUUUGGUUUUCAAAAUCUGAGUAAGCUUUUACAUCUACUCUACCUUUCAAUAUUCAACUUUUCUUCUUUUUUUCUCCCCAUUUUCAGUCUGUUUUAUCUCUCGAUUAAUAGGUUUGAGGAACAUGGAACUUCUUAUGUUCAAAGAAAAUGCCCGUAAAGUACUUUACUGGUGCGGACAAUUAUCACAUUAGACAGAAAUUCAUGGAGCUGACUUCACUUUGAUUAGUUCGCUGACGGUAUGGGUUGCUCGGUUUUAAUAUCCUGCUUUAUAGGAGCCCAAGCAAUGUACUAUAUAUAUACUAUACCUCUCGCGGAUCGUUGCUAAUGUUGUACAAUUACGUUACCUGACUUUUAGCAUUUCUUUCAACUGGUUAGGGAUGAGAGUCUUUUUGUUUGUGCACAAGAAAGUCUUUCAAGUUAUUGUAAAUGAGAAUCUUUCGGUAAUUUUUUGGGAUUUUAGUACUUGCUUUGAGCAUUUGUUUGCGAUUUUAGUACUUGCUAUGUUUGUACUUGUUAUUGACUUUUAAUUCAAUGAAUUAUAUUUGAGUAUCGACUUCUUCUUUUAAAUUGCUAUAUGCAUUCUGCCUUUUGGGAUAAUUUUACAAGUCCCUUGGGAUUCUGGUUGAUGGAAUGUACAGCAGGGAGGACUAAUUACAGGUUGCUUCCAUAUGAAAAAAAAACAGGAAAAAACUCCUGGCAAUUAGAAGUGUCAGCAUAGCUUAGCUUCAAAAAACACUAAUGACAAAUGGGCAUGUCAUCCAAAGCAGUGUAAAUUCACAUGGCUACGUGUCCUUAAAGCCAUAUAUUAAGACAAUUCAAGAUGCCUUCAUAAAUUGGAUAUACUACUAAUCCGCUACUGAUGUUCUAAUGCUAUACGGACACUUUCGAUUAUCACAAAAAAAAGUUUUUGUUGGCAGAGGGAAUGCUAUAGCAGCAUGGUUUUCCUGACACAUUUGAAUGUUGCCAAAGAUUUGAGGCUAUCCCCACAUUGGAAGGGACAACACUCGCCCUAGGUGUGAGGAUAGAUAAAAUGUCAGGUUAGAUUAUCUAUACUGACACCUUUAAAUGCCGCUAAAGGCCAUUUUUGUUAUAGUGAUAUUACCGGCUGGUACAUAUAGUUUAAGGCAAAGACAUGAUAUUAACCUAUCUCAUUGAAACAUAAGGAAAAAUCAUGACAAGUGUGAGUCUUGGAUAAUGCACAAUUUGUAAGUGGAAUUUAUACUUAUAAAACUCAAAAAAAAAAUUUCACAAUGCUAUUACUAAUUAAUUAAGGACUUUAUUGCUAUAAUUUAUCGCUUACUAGUUUAAACUGUAAAUGAUCUCAAUAUUUUUCUCCGUGAUGUCGAUUUCUUUAGACUACGAAAGGGAAAAAUUAGUGACGUAUCCCCUACUUAGUUAUAAACUUUUCCAGUGGUUUUAAAUCCCUCGGGCUAAGGACGUACACUUGAUCCAUGAAAAUGACUAGUAGAAGAUUUUUUUUAAGAAUCAAAGAAAUGCAUUAUUUUUUCGGUCUGUUUUCAAGAAUUUGAGCAGUAUACAGAUUAAAGAGUGUUUUUUUUUAAACUUGCUUAUCAACAUAGAAAUGCACAUAGCUGAAAGCCAACUGAAUAUUUGCAGGCAAAGGAGAAGGCAAUCGGUGUUUGAGACCGUCAAGAAGAUGUAGAAGAAUAAGAAUAAAAGCCCAAUGCGAGGAUGAUUCCAAGUUUCUACGUUACUAUUUCUACAUCUAAAUUGACUUUAGCUCCUGAGUUCCAUGUUUAUGGGGUUUGUACCGUUUUACGUACCAUGCAGUACAUGCUUGUAAGGUUUUCUGUCCUGUUGGCAAGCCGCAAGUCCAUAUAAUAAAUGAAUACUAUUUAUAUUACGACACUUUUCUCUCUUUCUCUUAUAUUUUGUCUUUAAUAUUGUUGAUCAUUUUUUUUAUCAAAAGUAUCAAAUGCUUAGGUAAUUUGGUCUAAUGCUAAUUGUUUUACUUUUAUUUUUCACCUACAUCCCUUUUCAACUCAAAGGAUGCUACAGUUUGUGAUCAUUGUUUAAGACCGAAGCAUGGUACUAAUAAAUAUCUCAUUGAAAGUCAAGGAAACUAACAUUAUGAAAAGUGUAAAUCUUGAUUUGAUGAAACUAUUUAUUCGUGGAAUUUAGAGAUACAAAACUCAAAUUGUGACGGUGUUGCUGCUAAAUUAUUAAGGACAUUAUCACCAUUAUUUUUCCCUCACUAGUUUCAUCUGCAAUGAUCUCAAUCUUUUUGUAUUGAUCGGUUGUAAUGAAUCGCGAUUGAUUGGUUGUAAUCCGCUUGUAUUGAUCCCACUAUUGUGGAUACUUCUACGCUCAACAAAAAAUAUAUAUAUUAAAGAAUUAGCAAUAUUUUUUAGAACAAGUUAAAUUUAUUCAUACAAAUUAGACAAAGAAGUAUUUUAAAGACCAUGAUGAAAUUAAUACUUCCAAGGUCUCUAUUAGGAAGACUUCCUUGCCUUGAGUUGCAGUUGCGUGCAGAUGUUUAUAUUUCAAAUUGAUGGUAUAGUAAAAAUGUUGAAUUUCUUUAUCCCCGUGACUUCAAAAAUAUGAACUCAAGAAAUUAACUUCUUAACCAGUAUGUCAUACAAGCUUCACAAGAAAUGUAUAACUUUGCAACUAGAGUCAAUAGAAAUCGUCACAUAAUUAUUAAUUUUACAUCGAAAUUAAGCCUGUAUGACAUACUGGUUCGAGGUUUGGCCACGCUACCUUCCUAUUGUUUAAAAAUUCUCACAUAAUCCCUUGUACUUUGGACUAAACUCGAAUGUGAAAAGAAACCAUCCAAGCUAGUUUGGGAUACACUUGUUGCACUUUGAACUAAACUUGAACGUGAAAGGAAAUCCCAAAACCAUAUUGGGCAUGAAUUCACACUUAAUAGACCCAAAAAAAGAUGGCGACUGGUGAUGGAGGUGAAAGGCAGUGGGGACUGGUGGAGAGAUUUGAGGAAUAGAAGCAGACGAAAAAGCAACAAAUUUUUGCCAAAAAACGGUGACUUUCAUGGUUAAUAUUGCUACUCUCUAAUUGUACUUGACCAAUACAACAGUGAAAUUGUAAUUUAUGCUGAAGAUGGAGUUUGAUACGUGAAGAGAAUUUUUUAUAAAUUUUAUUUUGACCCAUAAUGUUAUCUUUAGAUACAAAAAAUAUUUUAAAAUUUUGAUUUUGGCCCGGUUAACUUUUGGUAAACAAAAAAUGCUCAUGCUUAGUGACAGGUUGUCGAUGCCUGUGCAAAAAUAAAAAUAAAUCUAGUUGCCAAUUAAAAUAAUCAGAGCCCAAUUCUGAGUACUGGAGCAGGGACUCUAGGUGUGCAAUGGGUUACUUGAUUCACUCUAUUUCCGAAGAGUUUGCUUAACCCGAUAUACCAGAAUGGGAUUGCUUAUUCAAAAGGAAUUGUUGAUUUGUAAACAGGGCAAGUAGGGUCGUAUUCUCAGGUGGGCUGGCGGUGCGCGGUCAAUCGACGGAGAAAGAGAGGAAAGGACGCGGGUGGAGGUUUUUGGGUUUUGGCCAAGAGAAGAGGGAACGCAGGGAAAGAGAGAGAGAGGGGCGGUGCUCGGGAAGGUGAGCGGCGGACGACGGCUAGGAGGGAAAAGGAGGAGCGGCGUGCGAAGUUAGAGAGGAGGAGGGAGGCGGCAUACGAAGGAAAAAGAAAUCAAGGAAGAAGAAAGAAAGAAAAGAGGAAGAAAGAAAAGAAGAAGGAAAAAAAAUAGUUUUUGGGUUUUUUUUCAAUUUUUUUUUAUUUUUUUGAAUUUAAAUGUCAAAUUUUGAAUUUUUGAAAAAAAAAACUGAAGGUUAAAAAGGAAAAUAAUUUUAUUUUGCUAAAAAAAAAUUUUUAUUUUUUUAUUUUUUUUUGUUUUGGAUCGUCAAACACAGCGUGGGCACGCCAAAAUUAUAAAACGUCCACUGAUCUUGGGAGUCACUGACACGGCGUGGGCACGCCAAGAUUUCACUUCCUGCCAACGUCGCGAGAUGUUGAAAUUGUACUAACAUGGCGUGGGCACGCCAAGAUUGGUAAACAUCCACUGGCCUUGGGAGUCACUUUUUGAGUGUCCUCCUCGCGUGGGCAUGCCAAGAUUCUAUGUCCUGGUCACAUUGGAGAAAAAUAUGAAAAUUGACUAGUACCCAAAUGAAAAACGACAAAUCGAAAGAAUUGAACAACAAAAAAUAAUAAAGCUAAUAUUUGGGUUGCCUCCCAAAAAGCGCCUUUUUUAACGUUUUUUGUUAGACGUUGAACACCACUCUUCAAUUUGGAUGUAAUUCAAUUUUCCUUGUAAUCGGUGGUCCUACUCCGGGUUCCAAAUAAUCAUUGAGUGCAGCCUUCUUUCUUUAUUUUCUAUUCAUUUUCACCUCAUAAAUUGCUUUCAUUCCCUGAUAUUUGUUCGCAAGAAUUUUGAAUUUACCCCUACAACCAAACUCAAAAAAUUCUUGCACAAAGGAAUUAGUAGCAUGAAUAGCAAACACAGAAUGAGAGUUAACAGUAUGUUUUAUUGUAUUAAAAAUAUUAAAAUGGACUAUUUCUCCAUCGAAUUCCAUUGUGAGAGUACCCUUACUAACAUCAAUCUUAGUUUGGAUAGUACUCAAGAAUGGCCUUCCUAAUCUAAUGGAUGAUGGAUUUGGGACACUUUCAUCAUCCAUAUAAAGCACAUAAAAAUCAGCAGAAAAAAUUAAUCCAUCUACUUGCACUAAAACAUUCUCAACUACCCUAUCUGAAUAAGUAAAUAUACGAUUAGCCAAUUAAAUUAUUAUCCCUAUUUCUUUUAAAGAUCCUAAAUUUAGGGAAUCAUAAAUUGAUUUAGGCAUCACAUUAAUAGAAACUCCUAAAUCUAGCAUGGCAUUUUUUAGAUUAGAAUGUCCAAUCUUACAUGGGAUAGUAAACAUACCUAGAUUCCCGUAUUUAGGUGGUAGUUUCCUUUGUAAAAUUGCUGAAAUGUUCUCAUCUACCACAAUAUGCUUGUCCUCCCUCAAUUUCUUCUUGUUGACACACAAGUUUUUCAAGCAUUUAGCGUAUUUUGGCACUUAUUUGAUCGCGUCCAACAAAGGAAUAUUGAUUGCCACCUUGCGAAAAAUGACGGAAUUUUUAUAUCAAUGCAAGUUUAAAUUCGAUUUUAUACCCGUUGACUGCAAGUAUACAGGCCGAAAUUGUAAUGUAGGGUAUGUAUCGGGUCGAUCCCACGAGGAGCAAAUUAAACAAGUACUAAGCCCUUAUUUUUCUCUAUUAUUUAGACUCACAAUAAAUUUGAACAGAGAAAGUAUAUUGCUAAAAUUUACAAAUUUGAUAUACAAAUAUAAUUUAACAAAUGCUAAAUGCAAAAGAAGAAAUUUCACUCAAGGAAGAAUUUAGGGAUGUAGAUUCCACUUAUGGCAUAAACAACACAAAUGAAUGGAUUUACCUCUUAUUAUUAUUCUUGUUUAACUAGGGAUUCAUUUCCAAAAUUAUCAAGUCUCAUUUUCAUGAUGAAAUGGCCUAGACCAAUAUAGUUUUCCCUAUUUUCAUGGUGAAAUACUACUACUACUCUGUUUUAUUUCAUGAAAUGCUGAAUAAUCCACCUAAGUGUAUCUCUAUUUUCAUGAACAUACAACUUAAGCUCUACUCAUUUAUUUCCAUUGUUACUACCAAUUCUCAUUGAAUAAUAACAACUAUAAACAUACUAUUGGUGAUCAAUCAAUAACAAGUAAUCACAACUACACAAGUAAACAAGUUAAUACAAAAUAUAACAAGUGUAAAUCACAUUCAAGUCAUAUUAUUUAGCCAUAAGUUUCAUCUACUUCCUAGAUAAAGAAAAUUAGCUACUCAUGAAUGAUUUAACAAUCAAACUCACAAGUUUAUUAAUGCAAAAUAUCAUAAAGUACAAGUACAAGAAAGAUAAAAGAAAUCUUAGCCAAUUGAUGGUGAAUCCCUCCAAUUUCUGCUAUGUUCUUGUACAAGAUGAUUACAACUGAAAACUCCAAAUGCUUCUCUAAGGACUCCUAGCUAGAGAGAAAAUGUUACAAGAAGGAAAAACUAGCUACGUAUGGUCCUGUCCUGCUUCUCCCCUGUGUUUUUGCAUAAAAGGUAGUAGAAAGUCUAUUUUCCUCUUCAUAAUUUCCUCCAUUCAGAUUUUGUAAAAAGAAGUCAAAGAUAUGAUGUUUCCUUUUUUCUACAACUCAUUUGGUCUUCUCUUUUGUUGCAGAAGCAUGUGCCACCGAUUUCUAUCCCUCAAAAUAGUUGAAAAAAUUGUGAGAAAGGUAAAGAAAAACAGCUGUGUCACUUGCUGAGCAGAGAGACAAAUCCGAGCCUCGGAUCCGGGGGUGAAACUGGAUCCGAGGACUUCCCAAGGUGGAUCCGAGGUCGGAUCGUUCUGACCUUGGAUACACUCCUCCAAAAGUACAUACGAGGGCUCGGAUCCCUCUUGUUCACACGGAUCCGAGCUCGAAUCCGUGUUGAUUAAAUUUUCAGUUUUUCACUUCUUUCCUUUUUCUACAUUUUUGCUCCCAAUUUCUUUUGUACUUUGUCCUCUGGAUGAUCCUUGCAUUUCUUUCAACUUCGUGCACGAAUUUCAUACAUCAAUAACCUUCACAAUUUCACAAAAUUAACUCAUUAAUCCACUCAUUUAUCAAGUUUUGAACACUUAAACAAUAUUUUAAGUAAUUAUCACUAAAAGAGUUCAAAUAUGGCUUUAAUCUUCUCAAAACAUGCCAAAGAUUCAUGCCAAAUCUGUACAAAAUGUACGUUAAAUAUUCACUUAUCAAAAAACCUCUAAAAUCUCCUUUUCUUUAUCUUGCUUCUUUGAUUUCUCUAACCUGCUCGGAAAAGGCGGUAAGUUAGUUCCAACUCUAAUUAUAGAAUCAGGAAUUAUCUUUGGAUUCGCAUUUCUCAUUCCUUCCUCCUCAAGCUCUUUGUCAAUUCAAUCUUCAUUUUUAUCUUUCGGAAUCACAAGUUCGGAUCUCUGAAUUUUCUUCCCGUUCCUUAAGAUCAUUGCACUUACAUUUUUCAGGUUCAGUUCAGGUUGAGACGGUAAUUUUUCAUAAACUUGGGAUUCCAGGCGGUUGAUUGCUAUUGCCAUCUAACUCAUCUGAUUCUGCAUUACUUGCAUCUGUCCCAAUUGAUUUUUCAUACUUUGUAGGUCAGAAUCCAUUUUUUGUUGAUUAGCAAUUAAUUGCUUCAUCAUCUCUUCUAUAGACAGACUUGAGUUUGAAGGAGGUGGUGGCGGGCGAGACUGAUACUGUUAUUGAUACCCUUGCUGUCUAUUUGGUGUAAAAUCUGGCUGCCUAUUUCCUCCAUAGUUGAGGUUGGAAUGAUCUCUCCAACCAGGAUUGUAUGUAUUCGUGUACGGGUCGUAUGGCUUUCUUAGCACGGGCGCGUAACCAGCCAUGUUCACUUGCUCCGUACUUUUCUCUUGAAUCAUUGAGCACAUCUCUGUAGAAUGACCCAUAGCAGUGCAGAUCCCACACAAUUUGGCUCGUGAUGUAUUUCCUAUAGCUAAUUGCCUAACAAAGGAUGUUAAUUCGGUCAACUGCUAUUGGAUGGAAUAUGUCUCUACCUCAUUUACUUUGCGUGUCGGGACAUCUUCCCUCGUAUCAAACUGUUACGAAUUCUCCGUCAUUCCUUCAAUUAGCUCCUACGCUUCUCAAGAAAUUUUGUUCACCAAUGCCCCUUCACUUGCAGCAUCAAUUAUACUCCUGUCUCUAAAAAACAGCCCCUCGUAAAAAUAUUGGAUGAGCAAUUACUCACUUAUUUGGUGUUGAGGGAACUUGAUGCAUAACUUCUUGAAUCACUCCCAAUAAUCAUAAAGCGACUCUUCUAGAUACUGCUUGAUACCGCAUAUCUCCUUCCUUAGGCUUGCAGCUCGAGACGCAAGAAAAUAUUUGUUCAAAAACUUUUUCUUCAACUGAUCCCACGUGGUGAUGCUACUUGGUGGUAAGUAGUACAGUCAGUCUUUUGCGGAGUCCUUCAAGGAGAAGCAGAAUGCUCUCAUUUUUAUCUGUUCUUCUGUAAUUUCCGGAGGUUUCAUACUGUUGCAAACGACAUCAAACUCUUGCAAAUACUUAUACGGUUCCUCACCUGCUAAAUCAUAAAAAGAUGACAAGAGAUGAAUUAGACCAGAUUUUAACUCAAAUGGAGUGGUUAUCAUUUAAAUAUGGAAAAGUAAUACAUAAGGGCUGCUGUUUUAAAUCAGGAGCAGCAAACUCCCUUAGUAUCCGUGCAUUAGCCAUAGUGACUUCUUCUCGAUCCGAGUCACUAGAAGUAUCACUAUGUGAAUCUGUUAGUUCAACUUCUGGCUUAGGUCUUUGAGAUGAAGCACUGGAGUGCUCUUCUCUAAGUUGUCCGGUCUCUUUCCUUAUUUUAUGCGCAGUCUUCUCUACCUCGGGGUCAAAAAUUAAUUCACCUGUAUGAGAAGAAUGAGGCAUAUACUAGGAAAGCACUAGAAAAUUAGAACAAAAAUGAACCUAAAAAGAAACAAAUAAACCAACACCAGUCCCUGACAACGGCGCUAAAAAUUGACAGGUUAUCGAUGCCUGUGCAAUAAUAAAAAUAAACCUAGUUGCCAAUUAAAAUAAUCAGAGCCCAAUUCUGAGUACUGGAGCAGGGACUAUAGGUGUGUAAUGGGUUACUUGAUUCACCCUAUUCCCGAAGAGUUUGCUUAACCCGAUAUACCAGAAUGAGAUUGCUUAUUCAAAAUGAAUUGUUGAUUUGUAAACAGGGCAAGUAGGGUCGUAUCCUCAGGGAUUGGAAAAAAUUUGUUUCUUUUCAAAUCCACAGUAACAAGGAGGUGUUUUUGUAUAAACGAUAACAAUCUAAGGAGUGCAAAUAGAAAUAAAUAGAUAACUAGAAAUUAAAUGACAAUUCACUAAAAUUAGAAUAAUAAUAAUUAAAGGUCUAGCCAAGAAAUAAUUUCAGCAAUGGUUCACCUAAUUGAUCAUCGACGCAAAGGCAAUUCCAAUUAUUUACUAAUAAAUAGAUUAUAACUGUCAAACAAGUGAUGAUAGUCAACCCCUCCUUACUGUAUCAGUGAUUAAGGUAUGUCCGUUAAUCACUGCUAUAAUUGAGAAAUAAUCUUAGGUACGUCCGUAAGAUUUAAUUCCCCAAUUGCCUUACGUAUUAGAGGAGCCCUAUUCUAACCAAAUAACGCACUAUCAGGAUUAUUUUAAAUUAGCCCAUGUAUUCCCUUGAUACAAACCCAAUCAUGCCAGUUGUCACUAUUUCAAGGCAAUGAAACAAUUACGGAUUUAAUGCCCUAAUUGACUAUAGGUUACUAAAUCAAUUCACUAUCUCGAUCCAAGAUAAUCAAUCAAUUUAACAACUAAUAGCACUGCAAUCGGAGAAUAUGUAAAUACCAAUAAAUAAGAGGAAAAGAUAAAAUUAAAUCGAUCUCACAAUUUUUAGACAAACCAAAGCAUCAGUUAUUUCUUGACUAGAAAAGAAAAUUUAGUUCAUUCCUAAUGCGAAAGACCCACGCGAGAAUUCAAAAAUAAUAUUCACGGACAUCGUCUUGAUCCAGUAGAUUCAAUUGCGUUGGAAUAAGGAUAAAAAACCAAACUACAGAGAGUGAUUCAUUGUUUUGUUUCGUCUGCACUUUUUCUACACAUACGGAAGAAGAAAAACAACUAAAGGAUGAAAAAAGAAAAGUCAAAGAAAGCCACCCAAAGUAGUGCUUGGUCUCUACCAUCCUAUUUCCUAUCUAAUUACUACUUCCCUUCUGCGGCUGCCUAGAGGAAGAAAGAAAAGGAGACUCCAGGUCUUGUUCCAUCUCCUCCCUUUUCGGCAAUUCCCCAAAAGUAGAAAAGUUCCUCCGUUUACCAAAAUGCCCCUGGAAUGAGGACCGCUACUUGAACUCAUUUCCUGAUGACUGUCAAAUUGACACUUGUUAUGGUAUUUGCGUUCCACUCCCUGUAAUAAAUGCAAAUUGUCAAAAGUGAGUAAAAUUUGACAAUUAAUUUAAAUCGGGUCAGGUAAUAGGGGAAAUUAAUUAUAAAAUAAAUGAUAAAAUUGUAACCUAUCACUUAGAAUAACUAGAAAUAAAACAAAACAAGAAAUGAAAGAAAUAAGAGGGGUAGCAUAGACAUUUUGGAUUUUUCUGUUAAUUUGGAUGAUUUCCACCCACGGUCUAAUUUAAUCCAAAACACAAAUGGAUUAUGUGGAGGUUUUUAAACAAUGAGGGAGUAUCAUGAUCGAAUUCUAAAACACAAAGGGGAUUUACUAUAUUUUACUCUUAAAUUUUGGUUUCAUCUCAUAGCAUACAAGAGUACUAUUUCACUGUCUGUCGACAAAGAUUUUCUAUGGUUGAUGUACCAUAGGAAAAAUCUGCCUAUACCAUCAUUUGGAAAAAUUAUCAAUCCAAACAUAGCCACCAUAGCAUUUUUUCAAAAACACAAGAUGGAAAAUUGUCCCCUUAAACGUUGAAAUUCAUGAUCUUUCCUCGACCUAGUCUACUUGUCAAUUCUUGAAAAAAGAAUAGUCACGCCUAAAACACGGCCUCUUCAUCUGCAGAAUUCUAAAAAGUUAGGUAAACUCUAUAAACAAGUUGAUAGGUACAAUCGUACCCAAGAUCAAGUACAGGUAUUUGUACAUUCACUGCUGCAAUAACUAAUCUGAUGACUUACAAACACAUCAUGGUCAAUCGUUGAAUGGUAAUGAGUCUUUUGUUAUGCAUUAGUAUUAGUGUGUACACUCUAAUAGAUUGAUACUUAUACACUUUAAAUUAUCAUAAUAAUACCCUUAAUUAACUUUAACUCUUAAAAAGAAUACGUGUUAAUACACGAGAGUGUGUAAUAGAACGGCAAGCAUUAUGGUGGUCAUUGAGCAACUUAUAGGAGAAAUAGUCCUAUAAGCUGUUCAAUGACCAAUCACAACUUGCUAAUUGGAUGACUAAUAUAGCUCUAGCUGUAAUGUUUUAAUUAAAUUCCAUCACUAACGUUGGGAUGACUUUUUAACCAAAAAAAAAAGCCUUAGUUCAAGCUCUUCCCUUUAUUGUGCAUUUUUUAAAACAUUUGAUAGGCACUGCAAAUCUGUCAUUUUGGACAUUUUAUUAUUAACUAACCAUGAAAGCCGUGGACAUCAACCCAUAUCCAACAGAAUAUUAAAUUAAUAUUAGAAAAAAUUAUUAAGUAAUUGGAAAAAAAAAAGAAGAGACUAAUUUUCAUUGAAACCCACCGACAAACUAUACGUGUCCAUAGCUUUUGAUUAGUGCAUUCAACGUUUAAUUGUAUAGUCCAGUUCAUAGCCGAUUACAUGGAGUAAAGAUUGUGCUCUUUCCUUUUUCACCCCUUUUGGAAUCGAUACUGUGGAGAAUUGGGUUUUUCCCUCCUUUUUUUCUUUUCUUUCCUUCUGUGCUUUGCAAAACAUAGGUAAAAAUAUGAAAUCCGAAGCAUUCUUUAAUUGGGAUUAAGUAUUGUUCUUGAAAUUAAAAAGAAGAAAGAAAGAACAACAAAAAUCCCAAUCUGGGUUGAUUGUUGAGCUCUAGUUUGGCGGCAUCGUGCUUCCAUAGAAGUUCUCUUAGUGUGAUACGCUGCUUUCAAUCAGUUUAACACGGGAAAAAGAAAAGACAUGAAAAGCAAAUUUUGUGGGGAUAAUUUCAGAAAUCUCUCCUGAAGUUUUUUACUAUUUUACUGGCCUCCUUUCAAAUUUUAAAAAUUACACUAGUCUUCCUUGAGAUUAUUUAUCUUGUAACAUUUAGGUCCAAUCAAUAAUUAAAAGAUGAUAUUAUGAGAGAGAAAAAAAUAUGAUUUUAUCAUUGCCCCCAUCUUACUACAUUAUUGAAUUAAUUUAAUAGCAACCCACACAUUAAAGAAAAAUACUAAUAUUUGCUGUUUUUCAUUGAAGAUCAAAUCACAUGUGCCAUAAAAUAUAGUAUAUCAUUUUAUAUAUUUCACUUAAUGUAAGAUCCAAAUUAUUCUUUUCAAUUACAAAUCCAUUGUUAUUAUAAAAAAAAAAAUAAACUUUAACAUCAUAAAUAUUCUUAUCAAAAUAUUAAAGUUAGUUACUAAAAUUUUUAUGGUGUUAAAGUUCACUCUUUGUAAUAUUUAUGGGUUUGUAAUUGAAAAGAAUAAUUUGGAUCUUACAUUAAGUGAAAUAUAUAGAAUGAUAUACUAUUUUUUAUGGCAUAUGUGAUUCAAUCCUUGAUGAUAAAAAGCAAAUUCAAGUGUUUUCUUUAAUGUUUGUGCUGAUAUUAGAUUAAUUAAAUAAUUUAGUAGAUGAAAGAAAAUAGUGAAAUCAUAUUAUUUUUUCUUUCCUAAUAUCACUUUUUAAUUAUUGGUUGAACUUAGAUAUUACAAAAUAAUAAAUCUCAAGGGAGAUUAGUAUAAUUUUCAAAAUUUGGAGAGAAGCUAAUGAAAUAAUCAAAAACCUUAAGGGAGGUUUACAGAAUUAUCCCAAUUAUGUGGGAAUUAGAAUAAUUGUACUGGACGGCACUGCUGCAAUAGAGGGAAAGAGGAGAAGGUGCAGUUAACUUUUGUUGUUUGAAAUCCUUGGCGAAAUAUUACAGAAAGACAGAUAAAACGGUGGUUAGUACAUAAAUGUUUAUGACAGGGAAAAUGGUACGUCUGUUAAUCACAUUUGAAACAUUUUCAUUGGUGAAUGACCAAAAGUAUCAGGCUUGUCCAAUAGUUGAUCAUUGACCAAGAUAAAACCUGCCAUGGUAGAGCCGUAGAGGUACGAUCUUUUCGUACCUCUUAGUGCACAGGACAUUCCUUUGUUUCAUCUAGCUAAUAAUCUACCAACUCAUUUCUUCACAAAUGCACCUUUUAUGGUCACGUCUACGAAAGCCUUUACAGGAUCUUUACCCUAAAAAUCAAUUCACCGACUCCCAUUUGAUGUCAGAAAUUCUUCUACUUUACUCCAAGAUUGACUGUUAAUAAUAAUGAGACAAUGACCACUUUGAAUUAGGGGUGCGCAAAAUUAUCUGCUAAUCCGAAAAUCCGUCAUAUUCGAUCUGAUCCGAUCCAAAAAUUAGGAUAUUUGAUUUUUAUUAUUUGAUCGGAUCAAAAGAGGGUCGGGUAUCCGCUAAGAUACGGGGCGAGUUAGAGUCACAUAAUUAAAAAUUCGCGGGUAUCCGAUCCGCCCCGCAUAUAUAUAUUUUUUAUUUUUAUACACACUAUAAAAUAAUAAGUUAGAACCAAAUAAGUAAUUUUAUUGAACAAAUUGCAUUACAAAUAUGAGAGACUAUAGUUUAUUUACAAGAUUCAUUUGUAAAGGUCAUGAUCUUAUAUUUUAUAGAAAAAAGUUUAAUUAAUGUGGAACAUAUAUAUUAAAAAUUGUGCUACUUAUUUCAAACUUUUAUUGAUUUUGAUUUCUUUUAAUUUUUUUCCUUUAUCUUAUAUUCUCUUCAUAUGCUUGUUUCUUGGUGGGAAACCUUUUUUUAGAAAAAAAAAAUUAUUAAAUCUUAGAUGAAUGUGUAAAAUAUAAAAUUAAAUUAGUAUAAAUCAUUUUUUUAAAAAAAUUAAAUGAUAAACGGGACGGAACGGGUACCCGCUGAUCCGACCCUAUCUUAUCGGGUACCCGCUGAUAUGCGGGGCAGGUAAAAAUCAGAAAAUGACUGACCUGUAAGGUGCAGGUCGAAUCAAUCAAAUGGUGAAUGGGACGGGUAUACGACCCGCGCCAACACCUACUUUGAAUUAUCACACCAUCCUUCUUGAUAGGAUUGGUACUAGAGGUAGGGAGGGGAGUCGGCUGCAUCCGGUCUUCUUUUCAUAGAUGUCAUUCACGCAAUAUUAUAUUUCGAAGUCAUUGCAUGGCUAAGCUGCAAAAAAGUACGAACACUUGUUAUUAUAUAGCUUAAGAUUCAAAACGUUAGAGCAUAACCCUCCACCUAACACAAUUGAAUAAUGAAUAUUCACGAUUGUCAAAUCUGUCAAAGCACAGUUUGAGGACAACCCAUUCCAACCUGCAAAAGAUUUUUUACUUUUCUAAAGUUGUUGAGAGCUGUAAAAAGACUUACCAUGCUUACAUCUUCCGAGCCUUGGGAGUUAAAAAUGAAGGCACUGAGUGCUAUAAAAAGGGGGCUAGAGGCUGCCUAGAAGCAUAUCAGCCUAAAACAAGAAUUUGUAGUUAUGAUGGGAAGCAAAGCAAAAGCAAUGGGGUCUGGGCUGACUCCUCUUCUUACCACUCUUUUAGUGGUAUUUGUUGCUCUUGGCUUGCCCUCAGAAACUGCAGCUGAUGAUCACUACAAGUAUUCAUCUCCUCCUCCUCCUUACCACUAUCCCUCACCACCACCUCCAGAGCAUUUACCUCCACCAGUGUACAAAUACAAGUCCCCACCACCACCUCAUCAUGUUUACAAGUACAAAUCUCCACCACCCCCACCACCACACCCAGUUUACAAGUAUAAGUCGCCACCACCACCUCCUCAUCCGGUACCACACCCAGUUUACAAGUAUAAGUCACCACCACCACCUCCUCAUCCGGUACCACACCCAGUUUACAAGUAUAAGUCACCACCACCACCUCCUCAUCCGGUAUACAAGUAUAAGUCUCCUCCGCCACACCACACCCAGUUUACAAGUAUAAGUCACCACCACCACCUCCUCAUCCGGUACCACACCCAGUUUACAAGUAUAAGUCACCACCACCACCUCCUCAUCCGGUAUACAAGUAUAAGUCUCCUCCGCCACCAC